CAUAGGUUAAUGAGGCGAACCGGGGGAACUGAAACAUCUAAGUACCCCGAGGAAAAGAAAUCAACCGAGAUUCCCCCAGUAGCGGCGAGCGAACGGGGAGCAGCCCAGAGCCUGAAUCAGUGUGUGUGUUAGUGGAAGCGUCUGGAAAGGCGCGCGAUACAGGGUGACAGCCCCGUACACAAAAAUGCACAUACUGUGAGCUCGAUGAGUAGGGCGGGACACGUGGUAUCCUGUCUGAAUAUGGGGGGACCAUCCUCCAAGGCUAAAUACUCCUGACUGACCGAUAGUGAACCAGUACCGUGAGGGAAAGGCGAAAAGAACCCCGGCGAGGGGAGUGAAAAAGAACCUGAAACCGUGUACGUACAAGCAGUGGGAGCACGCUUAGGCGUGUGACUGCGUACCUUUUGUAUAAUGGGUCAGCGACUUAUAUUCUGUAGCAAGGUUAACCGAAUAGGGGAGCCGAAGGGAAACCGAGUCUUAACUGGGCGUUAAGUUGCAGGGUAUAGACCCGAAACCCGGUGAUCUAGCCAUGGGCAGGUUGAAGGUUGGGUAACACUAACUGGAGGACCGAACCGACUAAUGUUGAAAAAUUAGCGGAUGACUUGUGGCUGGGGGUGAAAGGCCAAUCAAACCGGGAGAUAGCUGGUUCUCCCCGAAAGCUAUUUAGGUAGCGCCUCGUGAAUUCAUCUCCGGGGGUAGAGCACUGUUUCGGCAAGGGGGUCAUCCCGACUUACCAACCCGAUGCAAACUGCGAAUACCGGAGAAUGUUAUCACGGGAGACACACGGCGGGUGCUAACGUCCGUCGUGAAGAGGGAAACAACCCAGACCGCCAGCUAAGGUCCCAAAGUCAUGGUUAAGUGGGAAACGAUGUGGGAAGGCCCAGACAGCCAGGAUGUUGGCUUAGAAGCAGCCAUCAUUUAAAGAAAGCGUAAUAGCUCACUGGUCGAGUCGGCCUGCGCGGAAGAUGUAACGGGGCUAAACCAUGCACCGAAGCUGCGGCAGCGACGCUGAUGCGUUGUUGGGUAGGGGAGCGUUCUGUAAGCCUGUGAAGGUGUGCUGUGAGGCAUGCUGGAGGUAUCAGAAGUGCGAAUGCUGACAUAAGUAACGAUA
rnacentral:rRNA from 1 species